AACUUUCAACAACGGAUCUCUUGGUUCCGGCAUCGAUGAAGAACGCAGCGAAAUGCGAUAACUAAUGUGAAUUGCAGAAUUCAGUGAAUCAUCGAGUCUUUGAACGCACAUUGCGCCCUCUGGUAUUCCGGAGGGCAUGCCUGUCCGAGCGUCA
rnacentral:rRNA from 6 species